rnacentral:pre_miRNA from 1 species
CGUGGGUCCCUUUCUUGUGCAUGGACAUCGAAGUCCUUACCGCAGCUGCCAUGACUAGAAAGUGCACUCACAUC